YUACGUGCCAGCAGCCGCGGUAAUACGGAGGAUGCGAGCGUUAUCCGGAUUUAUUGGGUUUAAAGGGUGCGUAGGUUGUUCGGUAAGUCAGCGGUGAAACCUGAGCGCUCAACGUUCAGCCUGCCGUUGAAACUGCCGGGCUUGAGUUCAGUGGCGGCAGGCGGAAUUCGUGGUGUAGCGGUGAAAUGCAUAGAUAUCACGAGGAACUCCGAUUGCGAAGGCAGCUUGCCAUACUGCGACUGACACUGAAGCACGAAGGCGUGGGUAUCAAACAGGAUUAGAUACCCUGGUAGUCCACGCAGUAAACGAUGAUUACUAGGAGUUUGCGAUAUACCGUCAAGCUUCCACAGCGAAAGCGUUAAGUAAUCCACCUGGGGAGUACGCCGGCAACGGUGAAACUCAAAGGAAUUGACGGGGGCCCGCACAAGCGGAGGAACAUGUGGUUUAAUUCGACGCAACGCGAGGAACCUUACCAGCGUUUGACAU
rnacentral:rRNA from 1 species